GACGAACGCUGGCGGCGUGCCUAAUACAUGCAAGUAGAACGCUGAAGGAGGAGCUUGCUCUUCUGGAUGAGUUGCGAACGGGUGAGUAACGCGUAGGUAACCUGCCUGGUAGCGGGGGAUAACUAUUGGAAACGAUAGCUAAUACCGCAUAACAGUAGAUGUUGCAUGACAUUUACUUAAAAGUUGCAAUUGCAUCACUACCAGAUGGACCUGCGUUGUAUUAGCUAGUUGGUGGGGUAACGGCUCACCAAGGCGACGAUACAUAGCCGACCUGAGAGGGUGAUCGGCCACACUGGGACUGAGACACGGCCCAGACUCCUACGGGAGGCAGCAGUAGGGAAUCUUCGGCAAUGGACGGAAGUCUGACCGAGCAACGCCGCGUGAGUGAAGAAGGUUGUCGGAUCGGAAAGCUCUGUUGUAAGAGAAGAACGAGUGUGAGAGUGGAAAGUUCACACUGUGACGGUAUCUUACCAGAAAGGGACGGCUAACUACGUG
rnacentral:rRNA from 1 species